rnacentral:lncRNA from 1 species
GAAAGAAAAAUAAAGCAAAAGUAUCAGCAAACAACAGGAGAGUCAUCAACUGAUAUCAACAGUGAACAACAAUUUUGUAUUAUUUUAUACCAAAAUAACACCACACGACCCAUGAAUCAGUUUCAGAUGGACAAACACCAGUAAACAAACCAAAACCAGUUUGAAUGACCAAACGGAAACUCAGAAAUCAACCAGGAGCUCCUGAAACCUCAACUACUGAAUUACCAGGACAAUUCAAAUCAUUUUCAAUCUUAUAUAAGCUGGAAAUUGGAUUAAUAGCUAGAACUCACAAUUAUCCUCAGCAAACUUCAAUAGAAUAGUGUUUUUUGGAGUUUUUGUUGCCUGGAAUUGCAGAAACCUUCUAGUAUUAUUUUAUGUCUCUUCUUAUUUUUUUAAAACCUCCAAAACUCAGUAAAACAAGGUAGGGAUAUGGCUUUUU